CUUACUUUUUUGUUUUUAUGAAGUAUUGAGUGAAGCAAUGGCAGAAUAACGACGCAAUUGAAUACUGGUCGGGCAAAUUGUUAUCGAAUCGACGGAUUGAAUGUGGGCGCUACGCCUCUCGACCACUGCCGGCUUCGGCACCCGAAGGGCAGUUCAUUCUUCUUCUCGAUAUCUUCGUUGCAUUUAUCAAACUGCCUUCACAACUUCCCCUCUAAUCGCUCCCUUCACUUCCUCAGCUCUGGACAUUUGCCCCCCGCCGCAGGCUGUUAAGACUAAAGUUGACGUUAUCCUCAACGGUGUGGGAGAUAAGGACACAGUUGAAGAUGUCAAGAGAGUUCUAGAAAUGGCAAACCGUGCAUCAUUAAGGCGGGUAACGCUACAUACCGACUUUCUCACACCCCCUGUGUUGAAAGAAUCAAUGCUUGCUCUAGAAAAGAUUGCCGACAUCAAGAUGGUUUCCCAGGGAGGAUAUCCAGAGGCUGAGCGUUGCCGGCUCUCAGUUGGGCAUCCAGAUGUAUUAACAUCUGAUCCUGACAUUGUUGCGGCACUGAGCAUCUCAGGGAAUUUCGGAUUUGAAACCUGUAGCCAUGGUGACUUCCUCGGGGCCAUCCUUGGAACUGGGAUAGUGAGAGAUAAGCUAGGAGACAUUAUAUUGCAGGGAGAAAAUGGGGCCCAGGUUCUUGUUGUUCCGGAACUAGUCGAUAUCCUUGUCUCCUCACUGGACAAGGUGAGAAAUGUUUCUGUCACAUGUAAAAAGAUACCACUGCUAGCUCUUGAAUACCAGCCACCGAGGACCAAGUCUUUGAAAACUGUGGAAGCCUCUCAACGACUUGAUGCCAUAGCUAGUGCUGGUUUCAAAAUUUCACGAUCUAAAAUGGCUGAUUUGAUCAGCAAUGGAGAUGUACGCGUCAAUUGGUGUACUGUGACAAAGAGCAACACAACUUUGAAACCAGGAGACCUAAUAUCCGUUAGUGGUAAAGGAAGAGUAAAGGUUGGAGAGAUCAACUCUACGAGGAAGGGGAAGUUUGCAGUCGAGCUCAUUCGAUUUUUGUAGAGAUUUUAAUUUGCAAUGUCACAUGCAUUGGGAUAAAAUUGCAAAAUAAUUCCAACUCAGAGUGGUGAAAAGGUCAUUGCCACUCUUGGGACUUAUGAUAUUGCAAUCGAACUGGAAAAGAAAGUAUAGUACACUAUUAUGUUAGAGGUUGCCUUUUUAGCUCACUUUUUUUAAUUCCUCUUGGUUUUAAGAGCUUGAGAAGGUUUGCAUCUCAUCCCAUAUUUUAUUUCUUUAAUUGUUUAAAACUUUGAUGCUACAUGUAGAUGCAUUUUUUCUACAUAUAGACCUUUAUAUGGAUCA